CGGACGGGUGAGUAAUGCUUGGGAAUAUGCCUUAUGGUGGGGGACAACAGUUGGAAACGACUGCUAAUACCGCAUAACGUCUACGGACCAAAGGGGGGGAUCUUCGGACCUCCCGCCAUUUGAUUAGCCCAAGUGAGAUUAGCUAGUUGGUGAGGUAAUGGCUCACCAAGGCGACGAUCUCUAGCUGGUUUGAGAGGAUGAUCAGCCACACUGGGACUGAGACACGGCCCAG
rnacentral:rRNA from 1 species